ACAUGCAAGCCGAGCGGUAUUUCUUCUUCGGGAGAGAGAGAGCGGCGUACGGGUGCGGAACACGUGUGCAACCUGCCUUUAUCUAGAGGAUAGCCUUUCGAAAGGAAGAUUAAUACUCUAUAAUAUAUAAUUGGCAUCAAUUGAUAUUGAAAACUCCGGUGGAUAGAGAUGGGCACGCGCAAGAUUAGCUAGUUGGUGAGGUAAAGGCUCACCAAGGCGACGAUCCGUAGCUGGUUUGAGAGGACGACCAGCCACACUGGGACUGAGACACGGCCCAGACUCCUACGGGAGGCAGCAGUGGGGAAUUUUGGACAAUGGGGGAAACCCUGAUCCAGCCAUUCCGCGUGUGCGAUGAAGGCCUUCGGGUUGUAAAGCACUUUUGGCAGGAAAGAAAUCGCACCAAUUAAUACUUGGUGUGGAUGACGGUACCUGCAGAAUAAGCACCGGCUAACUACGUG
rnacentral:rRNA from 1 species